ensembl:snoRNA SNORD15 Small nucleolar RNA SNORD15
CUUCAGUGAUGAUAAGAUGACAAGUCAGAAGGGAUGGCUCCUGCUGAGUGGAGCCCCUGCAGUGUCACGUUCUGUGCUGCUGCCUGUGGUUCUUCAGCAGGAGCAUCCUGUCGCUGAGUGAUUUAGAGGCAUUUGUCUGAGAAGG